CAUAAAUAAGCAUAUUUAAAUCUAAACAGAAGAAUCCCCAGGCAAGGUCAUAGUCCGUUUGAAUAUUUAUGUACAUAUUCAUUUCAAUGCAUUAAAAAAUAACCUGCAAAAGCAUAGUCUGGAACGUAGCACUUCCAUAAUAGGUAUAUCCAUGUUGCCAAGCAAAGACCAAAGCUGCAGGUUCAGUUCUUGCUUGCUUGUAAAUGGGACUUAAAACUCGAGCUUGAUAUUUAAUUUGAACCUUCCUCAGUGAAGUCUUGAGUGCG